rnacentral:rRNA from 1 species
ACACUCCUACGGGAGGCAGCAGUGGGGAAUUUUGGACAAUGGGCGAAAGCCUGAUCCAGCAAUGCCGCGUGAGUGAAGAAGGCCUUCGGGUUGUAAAGCUCUUUUGUCAGGGAAGAAACGGUGAGAGCUAAUAUCUUUUGCUAAUGACGGUACCUGAAGAAUAAGCACCGGCUAACUACGUGCCAGCAGCCGCGGUAAUACGUAGGGUGCAAGCGUUAAUCGGAAUUACUGGGCGUAAAGCGUGCGCAGGCGGUUUUGUAAGUCUGAUGUGAAAUCCCCGGGCUCAACCUGGGAAUUGCAUUGGAGACUGCAAGGCUAGAAUCUGGCAGAGGGGGGUAGAAUUCCACGUGUAGCAGUGAAAUGCGUAGAUAUGUGGAGGAACACCGAUGGCGAAGGCAGCCCCCUGGGUCAAGAUUGACGCUCAUGCACGAAAGCGUGGGGAGCAAACAGGAUUAGAUACCCGAGUAGUCCCAUGAU